rnacentral:rRNA from 1 species
CCUUCGGGGGAACGAUAACGGCGUCGAGCGGCGGACGGGUGAGUAAUGCCUAGGAAAUUGCCCUGAUGUGGGGGAUAACCAUUGGAAACGAUGGCUAAUACCGCAUGAUGCCUACGGGCCAAAGAGGGGGACCUUCGGGCCUCUCGCGUCAGGAUAUGCCUAGGUGGGAUUAGCUAGUUGGUGAGGUAAGGGCUCACCAAGGCGACGAUCCCUAGCUGGUCUGAGAGGAUGAUCAGCCACACUGGAACUGAGACACGGUCCAGACUCCUACGGGAGGCAGCAGUGGGGAAUAUUGCACAAUGGGCGCAAGCCUGAUGCAGCCAUGCCGCGUGUGUGAAGAAGGCCUUCGGGUUGUAAAGUACUUUCAGUCGUGAGGAAGGUGGUAGUGUUAAUAGCACUAUCAUUUGACGUUAGCGACAGAAGAAGCACCGGCUAACUCCGUGCCAGCAGCCGCGGUAAUACGGAGGGUGCGAGCGUUAAUCGGAAUUACUGGGCGUAAAGCGCAUGCA